UGGUUUGGAGAUAGGGCCGGCAAAUGUGUUUCGUUCAAUUGAACUUGUUGUGAUGAAUUUAGUUUCAUUGAAUCCGCCCGUCGCAGAGGUACUUUUUACGCGUGAUUUUCUUCGUUUCGCUUUGGCUCGUAAAUGAUCUGAUUUUUAGAAAAUACAAAAAAAAUAGGUUUUUGGCAUUAAAUUGGUGUGUGUGUGUGUGUGUGAAUUUUGGCCAUUUUAUUACGAUUUUUUGACCGGCUGUUUUUUUUUUUUUUUCUGAAAUAGUGUGUGCCGUGCUCUGCUAUUGCUCCGUCUUCGCUCCGUCGCUCUACAGCUCGCUUUUGAUGUUGUAUAAUCGUUCGUUUAACAAACGAUAAAUAUCCAGCCAAUUAAUGUCGAGCUAAUAAAUUAAUCAAAUAGUGAAUGUUUGGCAUAUUUGUGUCGAUUGGAAAAAAUAAAGAAAAAAAGACGCGCGCGAUCACUUCCAGCCAAGUUCCAAGUUCGUAGCGUCGCUCGCUUUUGAAUUUUAACGCCAGUGAGUGCGUGCGUGUGUGUCUGAGCUUAAGCGGCGUCGUCGCUAUUUAAUUGAUUGGAAAAAUUAUAGCAAAACAAAACAAAUAAAAAUCGUCGAAGACCACAAAAAAAAGUAAAUAUUCCAAAGUCUGAAGAUUUCAACUUCGUUGGAAACAGAAAAAGCAAAUAAAGGUAGAGCCAAGAAAUUGGUAAAAAAAAAUUUAACCAAAAAAAAAAAAUUUUUUUUUGUUGUUUUGAAACCUGUGUCAAAGUGGUUGUGUGAAACGUCUAAUUUUAAAAAUAAACAAAUCAAACGAAAAAUCGAAAAAACGAACGAGGUCUCCCCCCAAAAAAAAAUUCGGCGUUUGUUUGGUGUGACGCUCACAAAACAACAAAAAUAGUUCACAGCGAAAAAAAAAAUAAAAAACAACAACAACAACACUCGGGCUGCGUGAAUGUCGCCGUUAGCGCAAACAGACAGGCCGAUAUCAGCAAUGGCAUAAAUUGCCUGUGUGAAAAAUUACAAAUUGAAGUGACGAUCCCCCCUCCCUCUAACAUUUUUUUACAACUUCAACGCCCCAUAUCCCCAGCUUAGUGUGGUGUGGCGUUCCAAGCAACAACAACAACAACAACGAAAACUUGUUAAUUGAUCUUCGUUGCAUAAAUUAGUUCAAAAUUGACAGGUGUUUGCCGUGAAGUUGCCUGCCUGCCAGCCGGUCAUCAUAUUUCUGGUUCGACAGCUUUUGGAAAAUAUUCCUAAUCGCUGAUUUCGUUGACAACAACCAAAGCAAAAAAAAUAAAAAAACACAAAAAUACCUUAACUUUAUCAAUAGCCUAUAGUUAGAACGAAGAAGGAAACCUUCUCAACGCUACAAAAAGGCCUAUGCCAUACCAAAAAACACUAAGGCCAUUACGGAAAAAAUAUUACUAUUUUUUUUCCUUCGCAGAUAAAAAAGAACGCGGAAUCGAAACGAACGAAUAAAAAAACAUUCGAAUACGCACUUUUAACA
rnacentral:sRNA from 1 species